CUACGGGGCGCACCAGUGAGGAAUAUUGCACAAUGGGGGGAACCCUGAUGCAGCAACGCCGCGUGGAGGAUGACGCAUUUCGGUGUGUAAACUCCUUUUAUAUGUCAAGAAAAUGACGGUAGCAUAUGAAUAAGCACCGGCUAACUCCGUGCCAGCAGCCGCGGUAAUACGGAGGGUGCAAGCGUUACUCGGAAUCACUGGGCGUAAAGGACGCGUAGGCGGGUUGGAAAGUCAGGUGUGAAAUCCUACAGCUUAACUGUAGAACUGCACUUGAAACUUCUAAUCUAGAGUAUGGGAGGGGGGGAUGGAAUUAGUGGUGUAGGGGUAAAAUCCGUAAAUAUCACUAGGAAUACCUAAAGCGAAGGCGAUCUCCUGGAACAUUACUGACGCUAAGGCGUGAAAGCGUGGGGAGCAAACAGGAUUAGAUACCCCAGUAGUC
rnacentral:rRNA from 1 species